CCUACGGGUGGCAGCAGUGGGGAAUAUUGCACAAUGGGGGAAACCCUGAUGCAGCGACGCCGCGUGAGUGAAGAAGUCUUUCGGUAUGUAAAGCUCUAUCAGCAGGGAAGAAAAUGACGGUGCUUGUUUAAGUAGCCCUGGCCAAAUACGUGACAACAGCCGCGGUAAUACGUAGGGGGCAAGCGUUAUCCGGAUUUACUGGGGGUAACGGGAGCGUAGACGGCAGCACAAGUCUGGUGGGAAAUGCGCGGGCGUAACCCCGGAACUGCUUUGGAUACUGUGCAGCUAGAGUGCAGGAGAGGUAGGUAGAAUUCCUGGUGUAGCGGUGAAAUGCGUAGAGAUCAGGAGGAACACCGGUGGCGAAGGCGGCCUCCUGGACUGAAACUGACGUUGAGGUUCGAAAGCGUGGGGAGCAAACAGGAUUAGAUACCCCUGUAGUC
rnacentral:rRNA from 1 species